rfam:Schistosoma mattheei strain Denwood, Zambia genome assembly, scaffold: SMTD_scaffold0006356
GCUCAGCUGACGAGUCCCAAAUAGGACGAAACUGGAGUCCUGGAU